rnacentral:rRNA from 1 species
UACGUAGGUCCCGAGCGUUAUCCGGAUUUAUUGGGCGUAAAGCGAGCGCAGGCGGUUUAAUAAGUCUGGAGUAAAAGGCUGUGGCUUAACCAUUGUAUGCUUUGGAAACUGUUUGACUUGAGUGCAGAAGGGGAGAGUGGAAUUCCAUGUGUAGCGGUGAAAUGCGUAGAUAUAUGGAGGAACACCGGUGGCGAAAGCGGCUCUCUGGUCUGUAACUGACGCUGAGGCUCGAAAGCGUGGGGAGCAAACAGG